GGUAGCCACUGUUCUGGGCACUGAAUUCCAGCCACCGAGAGGGGUUGGAGGCUACUGGAGCCUUCAGGGAAAUGUUUUCUUGCUCCCAAAAAAGGCCCAGGAAAAGAUGAUCUCUCCUUCCACUGAACAUGGCCACAUCUGCUGUGACCUCUCGAGCAGUGGCAACCACUUUGUAGCCAAGCGGAGGAUAGAUCUGAGGCCAGAGAAGGGAGAUGAGGAGGACCUGGGUCUCUCCGCUCUUUCUGUGCCUCUGAAUUCUCCAGUUCUGGAGCCAGUCUCCCUCAGAACUUCCUGUUCAAUGAGGCUGUGGAGGGCGGUCACAUGCUGCCCGGGAGAAGGCGGCAUCGAUCGGCCCCGAAUUGGACAAGACGGAGAACAUGCCAGGCUGUCGACCUUUUCAAACAGCCGCCAAAUCAGUCUUCUGGAAACACACAUCUGGCAAUGCCGCCGCCCUGCAUAUCCAAUCCCACAGCUCCAUGAUGCCUUCAGGGUCUGUCACAGGCUGGCCCCACACAGCUCCCUGAGGCUGCGUUUGGUCACACUGCUGAGACUUUGCUGGAAUGUCUUCUCUCCACACACCUGUCAGACUCCUAUGCAUCCUUCAACACCCACCCUAGAUGGUCCCUGGGGGCCCUGCCCCACCAGCUUGCAGGUCGCCAGUUGCUCAGCAUGACAAGAGAGGAGCUGCUCCGCCAUCCGUCUGUCACUGUCAGCUCGCAGGCCGUCUCCUGCUGAGUCAGACGGCCCACGUCCUGCCCUCUGAGGAGCCUGGUUCCCAUGGUCCAUGGGAUGCAGACGGAGAGGGGUGCCCACAGCCCGGCCUGCGGGGCAGCAAGUGGGUAUGCUGGGAACUUCUACCUACCUGGCUGUCCAGACCCCGUCCCCAGACCAAGGUGAUAUUUCACCCUCACAGUGUCCCCUAACACUCUCAGGGACUCUGCUGUCCUCCGAUUGCCCGGGUCCAGCCACUUCUUCAGGAACCAACACACACCACCAUCUCUGGACACUGGGUCAUCCUUCAAUCCUUUCUGAUGAGGAUUUUUAGGCUGGUUAAUUUUAAAACAGUUUAUGAUGAGGAUUUUUAGGCUGGUUAAUUUUAAAACUACAGAUGAGAGGCAGGCUCCGAGGAGUGGAAUUUGCUUGCCCCUUUGUUGGGAAACAUUUACAUUUCUAAGGGAAACCUCUACCUAUAAAGGUGCCUCCCUCUCUGUACCAGGAAGAAGAAGAGAGAUGACCUUGUCCCUAGAAACUCUUAAUGGGGAAGGCAAGAACUUAAGUUGGUUGCUGUCUGGCAAUCUCAUGUAUAACUGAUUUAGGGUGGUGGCUUCUAACCUUUCUAACCUUUACUUAAUCCGAUUUGAUUCUUGUCUAAAAGUCAUGGGAUCACACAACGACCAGACCCCACCUGCACUGAUACCGUUUUAACUUUUUUUCAUGUUCUUUCCUUUGUCUUGUAAAGAAAUGACUCACAUACCCAUGCCUUAUAAAAUUAGCCCUAACCCUCAACUCGGGGCAGCAGCAGGAGCUCUGACUGUCCGUGGGCCCUGUCCCCAUGUUAUUCCACACUAUUCUCUAAAUAAAAGAGCACUACUGCCAGA
rnacentral:lncRNA from 1 species